CUGGCAACUGGCGCGAAAGCGCGACCGCGGGAACGCGGGCGUGUCCGGGGAAGCGCUGCGCGCAUGCGCCUGGAGAAGCAGGGAGACAUGGAGUACUGUCUGGCGGCCGCGGCGCUGAACGGGGUGGACCGGCGCUCGCUGCAGCGCUCGGCUCGGCUGGGGAGGGAAGUGCUGGAGCGCGCCAAGAGAAGGGCAGUGGACUGGCAUUCUCCAGAGCAAUCCACAGGCAGCGUGGGGGUUCUUUACCGCCACGGCCCCUACCAGGAACCAUGGUCGGUCCCCGGUCGCCAGCGCCUCCUAGGAGAGAGAGAAGAGAGGCGCCCAACCCUUAGUGCUUCCUUCAGAACAAUGGCUGAAUUCAUGGACUAUACUUCCAGUCAAUGUGGGAAAUACUACUCAUCUGUGCCAGAGGAAGGAGGGGCCACCCAUGUCUCCCGUUACCACAGAAGGCAGCCUCCAGAAGUGCACGUGCACUCAGACCUAGGGCACAGUCAGGAGCAGCAGAGAAACGGCAGAGUAGAGACAUCUAUUGGUCCAGGAAGCAGCUACCAAACAUCAGAGCAUUCUCGAGAGGCAUCCUGGCCUGUGAGUACAGAGCUCUGUGCUGGGCUUCACUACCCUUCUGUAAGCCAACUCAUCUGUUACCAGUUGGGCUCCAUUUGUAUGGGCUCUAUAGUGUCUUCAGAUUGAGAGGUUUACACUUGAGGGUCCACAAGAUUUUGGUUCAUUGCAAAAUUCUGUUUUCUUAGUGUCCUUUUCCUUCACUAGAGGCUCGGGGGCUGCUCUGUGGCCUCAGCUCAUAGCUGUGGUUGGAAAGAAUGUGAAGUAUUCACAGCUCACUUCCUAGGCCAGCUGGGCUGGCAUGGGCUCCUGCGAGAAUUUCACCAUCUGCUGAAGCCCUGGGAGGGCCUGACCUCUGCUUGUAAAAUGCAGCCAUUGCUGAAAUUCCAGCAUGUCUACAUGUGCUGAUACUGGCUUCCAAAACAUUUGAAAUGUUUCUGUGGGACAAAAAAGCAGUAGAUACGAGUUUCAGGACCAAGGAGUUAAGUAGUCUGUGAGCCUGGGGAGUUUGUUUGGGACUUGGAAGAGCUGGAAUUCUGAAGAAGGAACUUAGACAUAUCACUGCACUAAAUCCCUUUUUGUUUGUAUAUAGUUUUGGAUUUGGAUAUUCUAGAGUAAUUAGCAACUGAAAAUUUUGCUUCUAGUACAAAUGCAAGCUGUCAGCUGUGGGUGUCUUCAUGAGUUCUGCUUUUGGUAAUUCUGAUUGGCCUGGAGUUCCACUGUGAAGAUGGAUUUUUUUUUCAUAUUUAUUUUAUUUGUAUACAUGUAUACUUACAUGUAUGUAUGUAUACCACAUGCAUGCUUAGUACCCUCAGAGGCUAGAAGAACGUGUCAGAUACCCUAGAACUGGAUUAUAGGGUAUUGUGAGCCAUCACCAUCACCUGGAUUCUGGGAUCCAAACCUGCAUCCUCUACAAGAGCAGGAAACAAGUGCCCAUAACUGCUGAGCCGUCUCGCUAGCCCCCACACAAGAACACACUGACCUCAACGCUGCCAAGUAUGGAGAUGAAGGAGCAUAGCCUCGCUGUGAUUCUGCGGCCCUGUGCACAGUCGACGCCUGGUAAACAGCAGUGCCGUUGCCAGGCGCUGGACCUUUCGGUUUUCAGAAGUGGAGGAAAGAAAGACCACAUAAAGUAGCUUUUGAAAAAGCUGACCUCAAGUGUGCCAGCAAGGCAAGGUGGCACGAAACUUCAUGAAAGUACAAGUAUCACUUAUUCCUGCUAUAGAUUCAUUUGUCUCCCGUGUGUGGUGUAAGAAUGCCAGCUCUGCCUGUUGUUCCUUCCAAGCAUUGAGCAGAUAGGAAGUAGCAACUGACGUCUCUCCGGUGACGCAGCAGUUCAAAUCAAACCAGAUUAAAAGUAAAAGACCAAGUUUAUUGAGCAAAAGCAUUCCCGGGUGAUCUUCCCAACCCCCAGAGAUGAGGCUGGGAGAGGAGACCAGAAAAAAAACCUUGUGGCUGUUCUCCAAGAGGCAGUUUAAAUACUCUGUAGGCUCAGUCUUGAGUAGCCACCACUUGGUGGGUUUUCUAAGGGCAGAGAUCUGGAGGGGGGUCGAAGCGGAGUUCCCAGCUAAGAAACAACCCACAUGUACCUUUUUUUUUCUUUGAGAAAGGGUCUCUCUAUGUAGCCCUGGCUGUCCUGAAACACACUGGGUAGACCAGACUAGCCUUGAACUCACACUUUCUCACCUGCCUCUUUCUCCCAAGUACUGGGAAUAAAGGUGUGUUCCACUGUGCCCAGCUCAGCCCAGAUGCACUUUGACUCUUACCUGCUCUCUCCUGGUUGAUGACUUUUCCUUUUUGCCAUGUGAACUAAGGCCCAUCCCCUGCCAGUGCACCUGCCCUGAGACCCUUCCAGCCAGGUGUGGAGUCUAGCUGGAGGAUGGUCUGCGCUCAGUGCAGCUCUAAACACCGUCCAUCACCUCUGGCUUUCAGAGCUUUUGAACAUGAAAGGGCCCAUCUUCCAAGUAAGUGCUUCAGCGACAGAGGGCGUCCAUUCGGAUUGUUAGCUUGGGGGAGAAACAGUGCCUCAUCCUUCUGAAGGGAGUGCAGCAACGCAUGAUCAAAACGUCAUUCACUAUCCCAACGCCUUGCCAGGCAUACAUGCCAUUUUCUUCUACUGAUUCCCGAGCCUUUCCCUCUGCCUAACUCCCCCACCUAGCAUUGUCUCCGUUUUUUCAAAUCAGGGUCUUUCUCUUUCUGUGUAGCCCUGGCUGUCCUGGAGCUCUUUAUGUAGACCAGGCUGGCCCCAAACUCACAGAGUUUGUGAGCAACCACACCUGGCAGGUGCUCUUUUUAGAAUUCGUCAUGUUUCUAUAACACUUUUUCACACAAAGUUUUCAUAUGUUACUUGUGAAGUAGAUAUUCUCACAGAUUUAGAAAGUCGGCAGCAAGCAUUAAGGCUGAGAGUCACCCAAACAACAGUGCCAUCAUGUGACCAAGCUGAGCCUUGAAAGCGGGACCCCAUAUCUGUACAUUUCUCCCCACCUCUGGCACACAGUGACAACCUUGUGGAGGUGCUGACAUGGCUCUGAGGUCAGUCUUUAAACCGCCGUUGCCUCUUUUCCUUUCAGGCCGAGGACAUCUCUAAGGACCUCUACAUAGAGGUGUAUCCAGGGACCUAUUCUGUCACUGUGGGCUCAAGCCCCUUAACCAAGAAGACUCAUGUGGUCGCAGUUGACUCGGGGCAAAGUGUGGACUUGGUCUUCCCCGUAUGAAGCUGACCAUCACUGCCAUCACGUCACUCUUUUUUUAAGUAGCAAGAGGAAUAAAACCAUCUUAUGAUUGUCUUAAUAAUGA